rnacentral:rRNA from 1 species
UGGUGAACCUGCAGAUGGAUCAUUUCGAUGAAAAAACCUUUUUUUUCUGAGGUGCGGCCCGCACCUGUCCAACUAAACUAGGGCUACCUUUUUUUCAACACGGUUGCAUCGGUCGGGUUCGAAGCAGAGGCAUGCGAGAGUGUGUCUUUACGACGACCUGACACCUUACAAAAACACUUUUGAUGAUCUAGGAUUAAGAAAGAAUUUAUUAUUUUUACGGCUGGUAAUGCGGUCGUCUAAAAAUCUUAAAAACAACUUUUGGCAACGGAUCUCUUGGUUCUCCCAUCGAUGAAGAACGCAGCGAAUUGCGAUAAGUAAUGUGAAUUGCAGAAGUGAAUCAUCGAAUCUUUGAACGCACCUUGCGCUCCCUGCAGAUCUAAUCUGGGGAGCAUGCCUGUUUGAGGGCCGCGAAUUGUUUCGAGCGCCAGCUUUUUUAAUUAAGAGAUGGUAGCUUGGUAGUGAGGGUUUUGCCAUUUACGGUGGCUCCCUCGAAAUGCAUUAGUGCAUCCAUUUAAUAGGCAAAGACGGACGAAAGCUCGAUUUUUUCGCUCCCCUCUUCCCUGCCGGGUUUUGAUAAUAUCAGGACUUCGGAGGUGAAAGGGGGAGCAAGAGCUGGACGCAACGUCGUUGCUGGUUGGAGUGCUUCUGAACACCACCUUUUUCGAAAGAAAAGUAUCAAUAAAGCGGAGGAAAAGAAACUAACAAGGAUUCCCCUAGUAACGGCGAGUGAAGAGGGAAGAGCCCAAGAUUGAAAGCUGGCGUCUUCGGCGUCCGCAUUGUAAUCUCAAGAAGUGUUUUCCGCUUCGGACCAUGCCUAAGUCCCUUGGAAAAGGGCAUCAUAGAGGGUGAUAAUCCCGUACAUGGCAUGGAGCGCCCGAAGCUUUGUGAUGCGCUUUCUACGAGUCGAGUUGUUUGGGAAUGCAGCUCAAAAUGGGUGGUAAAUGCCAUCUAAGGCUAAAUAUUGGGGAGAGACCGAUAGCGAACAAGUACAGUGAUGGAAAGAUGAAAAGAACUUUGAAAAGAGAGUUAAACAGUACGUGAAAUUGCCAAAAGGGAAGGGUAGGAGGUCAGAGAUGCGUCUUGGGAUUCAGCCUUGCUUUUUCGCUUGGUGUUUUUCCCAAGUUGCAGGCCAACGUCGGUUUUGGGCACUGGAGAAGGGUGGGAGGAAUGUGGCACCUCUCGGGGUGUGUUAUAGCCUCCUGCUGGAUACAGCGACCGAGACCGAGGACAGCAGCGUACUCGCAAGAGCGGGCCUUCGGGCACCUUUACGCUUAGGGCGUUGGCAUAAUGGCCCUCUACCACCCGUCUUGAAACACGGA